AAGCGGUGCUGAGUUUGUUCGGCCGCGUGUCCACUUCCUUUCAAUUUGUUACCCCACCCCACACGUAUCCCUCUCCCAAACCUUCUCCUCUCUCCCAAGUAAUUUCUCCACCAAUCUCUACCUCCACAUGCGCGAGUGAGCCUAAUCCUGCCUCCGCCCCCUUCCUGACGCUUCUCCCAUUCUCGAGCUGUGGCGGCGCAAGCGGCAAGAACGGAGACGCCCGCCUCGACUACAUCCCCAACAAUGACGCCAUCGGCUGCGGUGUGAUGGAGAAGGAGAAGGAGCUGCAAUCUCCACCGCAAUCGCUAAUUCGCUAUGCAGGCGGCGCCGUCGGUCAAGAUGCACACUUGGAGAGGCCGGCGAAUACUGGAGUUCAGCAUCUGCCGGCGGGUCCUUGAACCAAGGCGAGCGGCGGCCGCAUCAUCUGGUCCUGGGCGCGUUCCCAACUCCACGGCUAGCGGUAGUAUCUGGUCGUGCGUUGGCGGCUUGCAGAAAGUGGGGAGCGAAGGCAUCCCUAACGAACACCAAAAGAUAAGCCUCCGGCUGCAAUUUUUUAUCCUCUUUCUUUGAUCCCCCGAUUCUCUAAUUUUCAGGACCAAUGGAGGAGCACGACGAACUGACCACAAAAAAUCCUCCUUGCUGACUCAUCUUAUCUCCCUACAACAUCUCAUCUCCCUAAUUUGUCGUUUGAGCUCUCGAUCUGUUUUCCUCCUUCUCCCUCUCCUCUUAAUACCUUGCAUAAUCUGAUUAUUGUAUCUUCGUGAGUUUGAUGUAUUAGAUGGAGGAGCCCACCGUUCUGAUUCCGCUCGAGAUGCAGCAACAACAACAGUUCGGGGCGAUCCAGCCGCAGUACAUCUUCCAGGCGACCAGACCAUGCCCCAGCUCCCGGCCGUCUUCUCGGGGACCAAGGCUGCCACAGUCUCUGCACCGCCGGCCGUGUCGGCCAUGGUCUUCUACCCGCCACCACUGUCGUCGUCGGCUUUCGCGACACCAAUGCCCCGGGCGGAGUCGCCACUGGCGGCAGCGUCUCAUUCCAGCAGGCGUCCCCUGGGUUCGACAGCAUGGCUUCCGCAACAGCUGCAGCACCGGUCAGGGCCAACAACAAGGAAAGGUGAGUUAUUAGCCAACAAGUGCAAAAUGUAUAAUUUAUAGUUAGUUUACAAUUUAACCUGUGUGUUAGCCCGUGGAAAUCUGUUCUUUUGCCCACAACAGACCAUAUCUUUCAAACUUACAGAACUAUAAGCUAGCCUGGGCUCACGAUUUCAUAGCAUUACUUCUGUUGAGUAGUAUUUUCGAAAGGCGUCUGUUGAGUAGUAUUUGUUUAAAAUAAUUGUAUGUAUGAAAAAUAUAAGGAUGUGCUUCAUUAUAUGUAAAGAAUUGCAUUGCCAUGUACAAUCGCUUUUGAAGUAAUGCGGUUUGUAAAUUAUAUAAUAUGGUUAAAAGUGAAAUGUAUUACAGAGCAGCCAAGAAUUGAUUGUGUGAUUUCAGUGAUCUACUAAUAGUCUAAUAUUGUAGAAUUAUGCACAAACACAAGUUAAGCAAGGCUUAUUUAUAGUUUCUCAGUCCACUUGGAGUGAAUGACAGCGUAUACAACCGUUUAAAAAAGUAGUGCAAGUGAACAAUGUUAUCUUCAGUUAGUGAAAGCAAAAAAAUUGAAGGACAGUAAGAUGUAAACAUCAAAGUUUCCCCACUACAAGCCUAAGAAUGAUAGUUGAUACACUUCCUUCCGAAUUUGAGUUCUGAUGGUAUAGCUCUGUCAUUUGCUUGAUGAAAGAUAUUGAGAUUUACGUUUCAGAUGGCAUGUUUAAUAACCUCAAUUCGAUUUUUCAUAGUGUGCAUAGUGAUUCAGACUAGAAGCAUUUGAUUCUGCAUAGUCGUUCAACAAGAGGCAAGAACCUAUGCAAGUCUUUUGUUGACGACUCUCUUUUCGUAGCAUUAGCUUUUACUCCAUAUCCAUUAAUUAAUAUACGGUGUAACAUUAGCUAAGAUAUGUAACCUUAUGUUAUCGUGUUCUACUCACAAUGAAGUGCAUAAUCAUUUGCCUUAUGUUAAAUCUCUGAAAAGUAAAUAUAAAAAGUGCAUGCUAAAUGCUUAGUAUUUUGUACCCUGUUGCAUAAAUAUUGAUGCAUACAUGUCCAACCACGAGUUAAGAUGUCAUUUUGAGAGUUUUCCAGUUUCCUCAACUAUUUGGUUGGUUGUUUCCUCAAACUACUAACAGCCUGAAGUAUUAUGUGCCGCUAACUGGAAUUUGUAAGAGGUAUUGUAGCAGAGGCAAUUCAUUUUCUUGAUACAUAUGAUAAUAUUACUAGGACAUCUAGCUAGGGUGGUCAUGGCAGGAGGCUGCAGCUGCUCAAGACCUGGGACUCAAGCUCAGAACGGCUGGGUAUGUAGGGGAGGUGCAUUCACCGGCGAGAGAAUUGGCUCUUCUUUGAACUCUGUCUCCACAUAGCGUCCUUUUUUAGUUGGUUGCAAUUUGAAUAACUGCAUUGAUGUGUAAGUAGAUAGUUUGUUAGUGUAUCCAUCUUUAUCCUGAUCUCUCUCUCUCUCUCUGAAAAUACUUUGUUAUUGAUGUCUAAACACAAGGUUUAUCCAAUUUAUUGCCAGACUUCAUAGUCUUCCUCACCUUUAUAUUUUCCAAGUUAAUAUCCUAUGGCUUCCCUAUAUGCUCAAUUUCACUAUACAUUUUAUGUGGGUGAGAUAUAUGCAUUCACAUAUGCAGCCUUAUGAGCAUCAUGGUGCAUGUUUCAAAUUGCAUGUUCCAUGCAAAUCCUUCUUGUGCAUUAAGGCAAGGGGUUCAGUCUUGCAAAGAAAAACAUGAGAUUCUUUGUAUUUAGCAUGCAUGCGUAUUUCUUUUAUUGUUGUGUCAUACUGGCCUACUUUAGUUAGGGAAGGUAUUGAGUUUUGGUGUAUAUCUUUAUGUAUUCGUUGGUUCAUUUGGCUUUGACAGUAUUUUGCUUGAUAACUUUUCUCCAUGCAUUCGCACUAGAGUCUUGUAUUAACCAAGUAAUUCUUGUGUGUCGGUGUACCAUAUACUUUACUUAAAGAAGAUGAAAUUAUUUAGUGAUCAGCUAAGAAAGAAGUAUUGCAGUACUACUACUACAUGGUUCCACUAUUUAUUGAUCUCUGUUGCUUUUCUCUUUCAGCUUGCCAUCAAGAAGUAGCGGCUGAGUGCUGCUGAAAACUGUUAAGAUAUAGCUUUAGUAUCGUCCCAGAAUUUUGGGUUUAUUGAUAUUGUUUGUUAAGAAAUUUUGUUUUAUUGUGUUCAGCUGACCAAAUUUCCAUGGAACUAGGACUUUAAGAUGCUCUGUGGACAAGAUGUAUUGAACUAUUGCACAGUUGUCAAAUAAUGGUGCCAAAGUGAUACUCAGUGCAUAUAAUAUCCGACAAACUAGAAACACAAAAGUAUUUUCUCUAGACGACCAUAAAAGGUAACAAGUUACUAUACUCACCUUUUCUACUUCUGGCUGAUGCUUUAACUGAUGGCCAACCAUGUCACAUGCCACGACAUCAACGGUCCCAGACAGCUCCUUACCCGCAACACUUCCCCACUAUCCAAAAUAAUUACUUUACCAUUGUGCAAGUCAGACAAAUAUCAAGGAUAUAAUUAUUCUUAUGACUUCUACCUACUAAAUGGGUAUCAUGUAACAGGUUUAGUAAAUUCUGCUGUCAAGUCCUUCCACGCACACAUAUGUUAUACCACCAUUUAGUAGCAAUAAAAUGAUCAGUUCCGUUGCGUGGAAUUUUCUACCAUGCAAAACAAUAGUUUACUCACCUCCAGCGCAUCUUCCGGACACUUUAAGUUGUGAUACAAAUGCUUUUUUGUUCUUUAGCUCAUAGAACUUUCGGAAAAAUUGAUAGGUCAUUGAGGCUUGGCUACCGCGGUCAUCAGACUAUUAGCAAAACAAAUUGCAAAUUUUGCAAUGUCCAACAUUUAGUCUGUCCAUGGUUGAUCUGUCACCAAUGAUUUGAUGUUCAAUGCUUUUAUUAAUAGAGGAUCCUUAGUAAUAAUUGUAUUUAGACUUGAAAGGAUCUCACUAUGAUUACCUAUCAGUCUACUUAAUUUAUUCGAAACUUUUUAUCAUAUUGUGAAAGAACUUGAAACCCAUAAUGCAUUUAGUAUGCACCUUGUUGUGACACCAUUCUUUUUUUUUGAGAAUUUUGUGACACCCUUGUUUCAUGGUAAGCGAAAUGAUACUGGAAUAUUAGAUGAAUUCUAAUGAGCUAUAUGUGCUAUUUCGCCAUAGUGCAACUUACUCUUGCCACCGGGUACCUAUUUGUUGGUCAGGUCAUCUAGAAGAGCAAUUCACCAUGUGGAAGACCUGUCAUAUCUCAUUGAAUUAGGAAAUGUGACACUGAACACAACUUAUACCGCGCACAUGAAUGCUCACAUCUCAUGCCUCUUUAAGCCCUACACUCCAGCUCGGCUCCCAAUCCGCAGUAGUAGCACGGAAGACAUGGUUCUUUGUUAUCUGUUUUAGCUUAUAUAAUUUUUUUGAGUUCAGUCGGCAUAUAUAUGCUAUAUGGAUCACCUUUUUAAAAUGCAUGGUAGGCAGCAUCUCAUUUGAGUUUAUCAAUAAGUGCAGUUCAUGGAUCUGUAUCUAGGUAUAUCCAUUCAGUUUCUACUACAAAAGCACGUAGAUUUGGUUAAUCCAAAUUUAUUAGUGUUGAUUCCUAGAUGAUAUUUGUUCCUACUUCCUGGCUUAAAUAUCUUUUUUCAAGAGGUGCUCAAGGCCUGUCACUUUGAUAUCUCUUUAGUAGGUUACUUUAUUUUGUUCUGCAGAGUAUCUGCAAAAUUAUCCAAGAAGUAUCAGAAAAAACUAUUUGUUUGUUCUUGGGAAGUCAUGUAAAGGUUUCAGCCAAUUUUGUUUCUCAAGAAAAUUUACAAGAGUGCAGGCUGGCAGAAGAAUUUCGCCCCCUUCCAAAAUGUCAUAGGGAGGAUAAAUAUAAGCUAGAGCUGGGUGUCGGUCAUGAUGCUUCUGGUUUUGAAGUGUAGAUACAACAAAUAUGAGCUUACCAUCUUUGAUAUUAGUUCCAAGUUCUUUCCUGGUUGGGUUUGACACCCAGCACUAGCCAGAAAGUUUCGGUGGGACAAUAUUCUCAAGAAGGGUGGCUUAGGAUUAUCUGAACACGAAACGACGAUCAUAGAAGACUUGCACUACCUUUCCGAUGCUGGCACCAUAGCUUUCUUUCAAUUACUUUGGGCAGAGCUUGCUCAAGUUCUAGCCUUCUAUGUGCCAAGCAAAGAAUUCAUCACCAUUAUUCCGUCUGCCGAUGAAUAUAACAGUGCCAACCACUCACAGUUUGAAGACAGGGGAACACCAAGACCACCCGCCUUAGCAUUCUAAGAAUUUAUAUUCGUUCCAAUUACUUGAAGUAUACAGUUUAGGUGGUACUGCUUAGGCAAGUCAAUCCUAUCAGCUAUCUAAUGAGGAAGAAUGUAUGCAUGUUAGUGUCUCUAGCCAAUACUCCCUACAUGGGUCUAUCUUACCAACUAUGUACUCAACUAGGAAUAUAUAUACUAGCAACAAGUUUAAAAUUA